ACGAACGCUGGCGGCGUGCCUAAUACAUGCAAGUAGAACGCUGAAGAGAGGAGCUUGCUCUUCUUGGAUGAGUUGCGAACGGGUGAGUAACGCGUAGGUAACCUGCCUUGUAGCGGGGGAUAACUAUUGGAAACGAUAGCUAAUACCGCAUAACAAUGGAUUACACAUGUCAUUUAUUUGAAAGGGGCAAUUGCUCCACUACAAGAUGGACCUGCGUUGUAUUAGCUAGUAGGUGAGGUAAUGGCUCACCUAGGCGACGAUACAUAGCCGACCUGAGAGGGUGAUCGGCCGCACUGGGAGUGAGACCCGGCCCAGUCUCCUACGGGAGGCAGCAGUAGGGAAUCUUCGGCAAUGGGGGCAACCCUGACCGAGCAACGCCGCGUGAGUGAGGAAGGUUUUCGGAUCGUAAAGCUCUGUUGUAAGUCAAGAACGGGUGUGAGAGUGGAAAGUUCACACUGUGACGGUAGCUUACCAGAAAGGGACGGCUAACUACGUG
rnacentral:rRNA from 1 species